rnacentral:lncRNA from 1 species
UUUCAUGGAUUAUUUUUUUCAAUUUUCAGAGAUAAUUUUUAACCUUUUUGUCCCCAAUUUUUGUCCCCUCAGCCCCGGGAUUGUCCCCAAGGUUGUCCCUGCUGGUGACGCUGGCGGUGCUGGCGCUGCUCCUGGGGCUCCUCCUCUUCACCUUCGGCCUCAGCCGCUACCUCCGCUCAGGUGACAUCCAGGGGACACCAGGUUACACCCCCCUCCCCGGUGACACCUACCCAGGCAGCAUCUGAGGAACCUCCCAGGACGGUGACGGCGACGGGGCCCGAAAAUCCAGAAAAUCACCCCAAAAAUCCUCCCAAAAAUCCCCCAAAUCCCCCCUAAAAACACCCCAAAAUCCCCCAAAUUCUGCUCAAAAAUCCACCCCAAAAUCAGAUUUAAAUCCCCCAAAAAUCCACCCCAAAAAUCUCCAAAAUCCCCCCUAAAAUUCCCCCAAAAUCCCCCAGAUCCUGCCCAAAAAUCCACCCCAAAAUCCCAUUUAAAAACCCAAAAAAUCCCCAAAAAAUCCCCUCAAAACCCCGAAAAUCAGAUUAAAAAACUUCCAAAAUCUCCCCAAAAUUCCCCAAAUCCUCUCCAAAAAAUCCACCCCAAAAUCAGAUUUAAAACCCCAAAAAUCCUCCCCAAAAAUCCACCCCAAAAUCAGAUUAAAAACCCCAAAAAACCCCAAAAAUCCCCCCAAAAAUCCACCCCAAAAUCAGAUUUAAAUCCCCCCAAAAUCCCCCAAAUCCUGCCCAAAAAUCCACCCCAAAAUCCCAUUUUAAAAACCAAAAAAUUUCCCAAAAUCCCCAAAAAAUCCCAUUAAAACCCCUCCUUUAAAUCCCCCUCCAAAUUCCCCUUAAAAUUCCCUUUAAACCCCAAAAAUUCCUCAAAAAAAACCCCAAAUUUUCCCCAUUUUAAAAAAUAAAAGCACUGAAAAUUUGGAGGAUUUUUAGAAU